GAUGAACGCUGGCGGCGUGCCUAAUACAUGCAAGUCGAGCGAAGCGCCGGAUGGGCGAGUAACGCGUGGGUAACCUGACCUUAAGUCUGGGAUACCUAUUGGAAACAGAUGCUAAUACCGGAUACUAAUGGAUGGACCUGCGUUGCAUUAGCUAGUUGGUAAGGUAACGGCUUACAAAGGCGAUGAUGCGUAGCCGAGUUGAGAGACUGAUCGGCCACAUGGGGACUGAGACACGGCCCAGACUCCUACGGGAGGCAGCAGUAGGGAAUCUUCCACAAUGGACGAAAGUCUGAUGGAGCAACGCCGCGUGAGUGAAGAAGGUUUUCGGAUCGUAAAGCUCUGUUGUUGGUGAAGCGGUAAUCAACCAGAAAGUCACGGCUAACUACGUGCCAGCAGCCGCGGUAAUUC
rnacentral:rRNA from 1 species